UCCACACGUACCCAUCCCGAACACGACCGUUAAGCCCUCCAGCGCCGAUGGUACUUGGACCGCAGGGUCCUGGGAGAGUAGGACGUCGCCAAGC
rnacentral:rRNA from 4 species